CUCCCCUCGCCACCUUCAAACUACUUAUCUGGUCUCAAGGUUCUUCAUGGCCUUGACUCUCAAAGAUCAGAGUAUUCUUGUCAAUGGGGAUAUCAAUGAAGGCUUGCUUCGCCUUGUCACAAGCUCCAUCGUUUAAGGAAAGAAUAUGCAUACACAUUUGAAAGCACAAGCUUAUCUUAUCAGUGUUCUGAGGUUACCAGGAUCUUGCAAGGUAGGGCA